rnacentral:rRNA from 1 species
UACAGAGGUCUCAAGCGUUGUUCGGAUUCAUUGGGCGUAAAGGGUGCGUAGGCGGCGCGGUAAGUCGGGUGUGAAAUCUUGGAGCUUAACUCCGAAACUGCAUUCGAUACUGCGGUGCUUGAGGACUGGAGAGGAGACUGGAAUUUACGGUGUAGCAGUGAAAUGCGUAGAUAUCGUAAGGAAGACCAGUGGCGAAGGCGGGUCUCUGGACAGUUCCUGACACUGAGGCACGAAGGCCAGGGGAGCAAACGGG